rnacentral:rRNA from 1 species
CAGCCGUAAACUAUGCUCGCUAGGUGUCAGGGACGGUGCGACCGUUUCUGGUGCCGCAGGGAAGCCGUGAAGCGAGCCACCUGGGAAGUACGGUCGCAAGGCUGAAACUUAAAGGAAUUGGCGGGGGAGCACUACAACGGGUGGAGCCUGCGGUUUAAUUGGACUCAACGCCGGGAGGCUCACCGGAUAAGACAGCGGAAUGAUUGCCGGGCUGAAGACCCUGCAUGACCAGCUGAGAGGUGGUGCAUGGCGUAGUCGUGU